rnacentral:tRNA from 1 species
GCUGCUGUCGUAUAACGGUUAGUAUGCGGGUCUGUGGAACCUGCGACGGGGGUUCGAUUCCCCCCAGCGGCC